rnacentral:rRNA from 1 species
UACAGAGGUCUCAAGCGUUGUUCGGAUUCAUUGGGCGUAAAGGGCGCGUAGGCGGCGCGGUAAGUCGGGUGUGAAAUCUUGGAGCUUAACUCCGAAACUGCAUUCGAUACUGCCGUGCUUGAGGACUGGAGAGGAGACUGGAAUUUACGGUGUAGCGGUGAAAUGCGUAGAUAUCGUAAGGAAGACCAGUGGCGAAGGCGGGUCUCUGGACAGUUCCUGACACUGAGGCACGAAGGCCAGGGGAGCAAACGGG